rnacentral:piRNA from 1 species
UCUCCUUGACAAUAAGGUCUAGACACAGGG